GGACUACUGGGGUAUCUAAUCCCGUUUGCUCCCCUGGCUUUCGCGCCUCAGCGUCAGAAGAGGUCCAGCGUGCCGCUUUCGCCACCGGCGUUCCUUCCGAUAUCUACGCAUUUCACCGCUCCACCGGAAGUUCCACACGCCCCUACCUCCCUCGAGACAACCGGUUUCGGCAGCCCUUCUCCCGUUGAGCGGGAGGAUUUCACUACCGACCUUGUUGCCCGCCUACGCGCCCUUUAAGCCCAGUGAAUCCGAACAACGUUUGCACGGUUCGUCUUACCGCGGCUGCUGGCAC
rnacentral:rRNA from 1 species